ACUCCUACGGGAGGCAGCAGUGGGGAAUCUUGGACAAUGGGGGCAACCCUGAUCCAGCCAUGCCGCGUGAGUGAUGAAGGCCUUAGGGUCGUAAAGCUCUUUCGCCUGUGAUGAUAAUGACAGUAGCAGGUAAAGAAACCCCGGCUAACUCCGUGCCAGCAGCCGCGGUAAUACGGAGGGGGUUAGCGUUGUUUGGAAUUACUGGGGCGUAAAGCGCGCGUAGGCGGAUUAGUCAGUUAGAGGUGAAAUCCCAGGGCUCAACCCUGGAACUGCCUUUAAUACUGCUAGUCUUGAGUUCGAGAGAGGUGAGUGGAAUUCCGAGUGUAGAGGUGAAAUUCGUAGAUAUUCGGAGGAACACCAGUGGCGAAGGCGGCUCACUGGCUCGAUACUGACGCUGAGGUGCGAAAGUGUGGGGAGCAAACAGGAUUAGAUACCCUGGUAGGAUAGCG
rnacentral:rRNA from 1 species